rnacentral:rRNA from 1 species
GAGUGAACGCUGGCGGUAGGCCUAACACCUGCAAGUCGAACGGCAGCACAGUAAGAGCUUGCUCUUACGGGUGGCGAGUGGCGGACGGGUGAGGAAUACAUCGGAAUCUACUUUUUCGUGGGGGAUAACGUAGGGAAACUUACGCUAAUACCGCAUACGACCUACGGGUGAGAGCAGGGGAUCUUCGGACCUUGCGCGAUUGAAUGAGCCGAUGUCGGAUUAGCUAGUUGGCGGGGUAAAGGCCCACCAAGGCGACGAUCCGUAGCUGGUCUGAGAGGAUGAUCAGCCACACUGGAACUGAGACACGGUCCAGACUCCUACGGGAGGCAGCAGUGGGGAAUAUUGGACAAUGGGCGCAAGCCUGAUCCAGCCAUACCGCGUGGGUGAAGAAGGCCUUCGGGUUGUAAAGCCCUUUUGUUGGGAAAGAAAAGCAGCAGGUUAAUACCCCGCUGUUCUGACGGUACCCAAAGAAUAAGCACCGGCUAACUUCGUG